UGAGCUUUAUUUUAUUUUAUUUGUCAAUCGUUAAUAUUUUAUCGUAGAAAAGGCUUAGGCCUAGCACAUAGCAAAGAAUACACUAGAUCCAACAUUACAAUAUAAGGUUAGAAGCCUAGCUUAAGCACAUUACAUACACCUAAAAAGCCCAAUCAUUGCCUGAGUAACUAAAAUGGGCCUACCCAGCCCAUCAGCGGAGGAAAGGCCAGAGACCCAACAGAUAACCUAACCCUGGACGAUUGUAGCAACAUAGUAUCUUGAAAAUUUUCCCAAGGAAUUCGUCGCAUCCCCGAAUAUGCGCUAUAAAGAAUGAGCCAGGCCAGAAUGAAACCAUUGACCGGUGAGACAUGCAGCAGCGCAACGCCGCUUGAGGCAUUUUGGGUGUUAUCUUACCUUGUUAUUAACCCAAAAAGAUUAAAACGGCUAACUGACUCCCUGAAAAUUCCCAGUUGUUCUCAAUCUUCUCGGCUUGGCUGGUUGACAUUAUCCAGCUUCGGAGCCAGAAAACUGGCAUAAAUUGAGCAUAGGUAGACAAAACAUGAUGCAACCUUUCCUCUGGUAGGACUUCCAUUGUUGGGUCCAAAACGUGGGUCCCAAAGCAGUGAAGUUUACUAUUCUCGCCAAUCAUCUAAUAUUGAAGAUCAAAAAUCAAAAGUCCAACUAGUGAAAAGAUUGAAACUUGAAAGCCAUCACCAAGUAGAAAUAACAGAUCAAUGAUUCCCCACGAGUGAGUAACCCUCUACUUUUAGUACCCAUACACUUUCCUGGCGCGCUUUAAUUAUCUGCAACUGCAACUUUUACACCCAUUUUUCCUUCUUUUUUGAUCACCUUCGCUUACUGCUAGAGAAAAGAAUACGGUGUUCGGUGUUCACAGCUUUUCCACCACCACAAACACAUGAAAUGGUUCUUGGAAGCAAUACACUAAUUAGCUAAAUAACUGAGCCUCUUCUCUUUUCUCUUAAAAUGAAACAAAUUAUCUAUAUAUUAUAACAUAGUAGUACAUCCAAAAGAUUAUUAUUGAUUACUGAUCCAUCUGAGAAAAAAAAAUAUAUAUAUAUAAUAAAACCUCUCUUUUUUCUCUCAGAUAAAAAAAAAAUAAGAAAUAUAUA
rnacentral:misc_RNA from 1 species